rnacentral:rRNA from 1 species
AUACGUAGGGUGCAAGCGUUAUCCGGAAUAUUGGGCGUAAAGGGCUCGUAGGCGGUUCGUCGCGUCCGGUGUGAAAGUCCAUCGCUUAACGGUGGAUCCGCGCCGGGUACGGGCGGGCUUGAGUGCGGUAGGGGAGACUGGAAUUCCCGGUGUAACGGUGGAAUGUGUAGAUAUCGGGAAGAACACCAAUGGCGAAGGCAGGUCUCUGGGCCGUUACUGACGCUGAGGAGCGAAAGCGUGGGGAGCGAACAGGAUUAGAUACCCUGGUAGUCCACGCCGUAAACGGUGGAUGCUGGAUGUGGGGCCCGUUCCACGGGUUCCGUGUCGGAGCUAACGCGUUAAGCAUCCCGCCUGGGGAGUACGGCCGCAAGGCUAAAACUCAAAGAAAUUGACGGGGGCCCGCACAGGCGGCGGAGCAUGCGGAUUAAUUCGAUGCAACGCGAAGAACCUUACCUGGGCUUGACAUGUUCCCGACGGUCGUAGAGAUGCGGCUUCCCUUCGGGGCGGGUUCACAGGUGGUGCAUGGUCGUCGUCAGCUCGUGUCGUGAGAUGUUGGGUUAAGUCCCGCAACGAGCGCAACCCUCGCCCCGUGUUGCCAGCGGAUUAUGCCGGGAACUCACGGGGGACCGCCGGGGUUAACUCGGAGGAAGGUGGGGAUGACGUCAGAUCAUCAUGCCCCUUACGUCCAGGGCUUCACGCAUGCUACAAUGGCCGGUACAACGGGAUGCGACGCGGCGACGCGGAGCGGAUCCCUGAAAACCGGUCUCAGUUCGGAUCGCAGUCUGCAACUCGACUGCGUGAAGGCGGAGUCGCUAGUAAUCGCGAAUCAGCAACGUCGCGGUGAAUGCGUUCCCGGGCCUUGUACACACCGCCCGUCAAGUCAUGAAAGUGGGCAGCACCCGAAGCCGGUGGCCUAACCCCUUGUGGGAUGGAGCCGUCUAAGGUGAGGCUCGUGAUUGGGACU